AAGUCGUAACAAGGUUUCCGUAGGUGAACCUGCGGAAGGAUCAUUAACGAAUAACUAUGGUGUCUUGGUUGUAGCUGGCUCCUCGGAGCAAUGUGCACGCCCGCCAUUUUUAUCUUUCCACCUGUGCACCGACUGUAGGUCUGGAUACCUCUCGCCCUUCACGGGGCGGAUGCGAGGGUUGCCCGUAACACGGCUCUCCUCGAAUUUCCAGGCUCUACGUCUUUUUACACACCCCAAUAGUAUGAUGCAGAAUGUAGUCAAUGGGCUUCUCAGCCUAUAAAACAAUAUACAACUUUCAGCAACGGAUCUCUUGGCUCUC
rnacentral:misc_RNA from 1 species